rnacentral:lncRNA from 1 species
CACCAAAUUUCUCAAAUUCCAGAGGAAGAAGCUGAUCCUCAGGAAAACAUCUAAGACAACACCUGAAGAAAGGCUAUGACUGAGUACAAAGGACUGGAUAAGCUUCUUUUUAACCUAACUAUCCUCCAAGUUCUCAUUUGGAUAAUUUCAGUCCUCUUUGCUUUUCUUGCCAUUCCAUGUAAGCCAACUCCUUGGUAUUCCUCAGACUGUCUCCACAAAAUACAUCAAAUUCUCUUGAAGACAAAAGAAAACAGUAGAAAAAAUUAACCAAAAUCACCCAAGGACAAACUGGCCCUUCCUUGGUUCUGAUCAGACCAAUCUCAGCAUAAUUACUAACCCAUCUAUUUAACCAGCAUAAUUAGUAACCCAUCCAAUGACCCAGGCUAUUAUUUUACUAGAUUCAAAGGCUUUUUCUCAUCAUUGAUCUCUGGCUCCAAGGAGAUUUCACAGCAAUGCCUCCAGACUUCAUAACACGGACAUCUGGGAUAUUUAUCUGCUCCCUUAAUGGCCCAGGCCCCUCUCUGUAACAGAAGAAGACUAUGGGAUGGCAUUUUGGAGAAUGGUCUCUAGGAUACAUGGAUCCUGGAUAUUGCAACUUAACUAUAGAUUUAUGGCCCCCAGCUUACCAAGAGUUUGUACCAUUGCCUAAGCCUACAGCACUGUGGGGAAACUGGAAAACCAUUGACUCAAUCACAGACAAAUGGGCCAACUCCAUUCUGGCCUUACAGACCUACAGAUAUCACCAGAUUCCUUCUACCGCCUCCAACCCCUAAUCGAUGUCUCCAUUCAGCAGGAAGAAGCUACAGAAGAAGGGACCUUUGUCCCUCUUUCCUGUUAAAAUCAGGGAGGAAUCUUAGGUGGGAACUAAAGGGAAGGUCUAAAAAAUAAGUCGCCAUGAUUCAUUGACCCACCCAGACCCAGACUUGCAGUCUCCAUGUUAUUGCACCUCUGCAGGUGAAAACCACCAAGCCUAUGAAGUGGUUGAUUUUCCAAGGACAAAGACAGCCCCAAGGAGAAAGCUAAAUUUUAUAUCAUGAUCUCAACUGCCAUCCUGGACCUAGAGAACUCAGCACAUG